GCGUGCGUUCUCGGCCGCCGGUGCUUCCCUGUUUUUGGGGGCAGGACCCUUCCAGCUUGCUCUCGGGUGUCGAGAACCUGGCGCUUGCUGGUGGAGUGAGGGUCUUGACCUGCACCUGCUGCUUGGGCCACAGCACGUGCAUUGUUCUACCAGUUAGGACGUGAAGUUCUAAGCAACCCAGUUCCCCAUAAUAAUCAAGUGUUCUCCAGUAUUCAUGUGGUGGCAGAAGGAGCCGAAAUGGCCAGGUCACAGUCUCAACUUCUAGUUCAAUGGAGCCAUUGUUUCAUCUCCUGUGGGAAGCAGUAAUCCCUUGGGACACAAGACCUUCAUAAAUCAUCAGAUAAAUCCUCAGCCCACUGUGGAGGGACCGCCAUUCCUGCUUUAUUACACAAAUAGUGACUAAGCAGAUCAGCUGCCUGAAGUUCUGCCCACUGGACGAUUUCCUGCUCUCACUGCCCUUUAGGAGCUGUCGUGAUGCAGCAGUCCGCUUCCGACUGGUGUCAGCAUAUUGCCUCAGGUACCACCUUCAGUGUAGGCUUGUUACUUCAUACAAAGAACGGGGAAAAGCAUCAGUGCUCAACUUUGAACAUGAUCAUCUUAGCAUUGAUUAUUAAGAGCUAAGUCUGAAGGAUUCAGAAGAUGAUUUUAAUAAGUAAAGUACAAAGUGGAAAAGAA